CCUACGGGUGGCAGCAGUGGGGAAUAUUGCGCAAUGGGGGCAACCCUGACGCAGCAACGCCGCGUGAUUGAAGAAGGCCUUCGGGUUGUAAAGAUCUUUAAUUGGGGACGAAACAAAUGACGGUACCCAAAGAAUAAGCUCCGGCUAACUACGUGCCAGCAGCCGCGGUAAUACGUAGGGAGCAAGCGUUAUCCGGAUUUACUGGGUGUAAAGGGCGAGUAGGCGGGCUGGCAAGUUGGGAGUGAAAUCCCGGGGCUUAACCCCGGAACUGCUUUCAAAACUGCUGGUCUUGAGUGAUGGAGAGGGAGGUGGAAUUCCACGUGUAGCAGUGAAAUGCGUAGAUAUGUGGAAGAACACCGAUGGCGAAGGCAGCCUCCUGGGACAUAACUGACGCUCAGGCACGAAAGCGUGGGGAGCAAACAGGAUUAGAUACCCGUGUAGUC
rnacentral:rRNA from 1 species